GAGUUUGAUCCUGGCUCAGAGCGAACGCUGGCGGCAGGCCUAACACAUGCAAGUCGAACGAGACCUUCGGGUCUAGUGGCGCACGGGUGCGUAACGCGUGGGAAUCUGCCCUUGGGUACGGAACAACAGUUAGAAAUGACUGCUAAUACCGUAUAAUGACUCCGGUCCAAAGAUUUAUCGCCCAGGGAUGAGCCCGCGUCGGAUUAGCUAGUUGGUGAGGUAAAAGCUCACCAAGGCGACGAUCCGUAGCUGGUCUGAGAGGAUGAUCAGCCACACUGGGACUGAGACACGGCCCAGACUCCUACGGGAGGCAGCAGUGGGGAAUAUUGGACAAUGGGCGAAAGCCUGAUCCAGCAAUGCCGCGUGAGUGAUGAAGGCCUUAGGGUUGUAAAGCUCUUUUACCCGGGAUGAUAAUGACAGUACCGGGAGAAUAAGCCCCGGCUAACUCCGUGCCAGCAGCCGCGGUAAG
rnacentral:rRNA from 1 species